AAAACUUUCAACAACGGAUCUCUUGGUUCCGGCACCGAUGAAGAACGCAGCGAAAUGCGAUAAGUAAUGUGAAUUGCAGAAUUCAGUGAAUCAUCGAAUCUUUGAACGCACAUUGCGCCC
rnacentral:rRNA from 1 species